AGAGUUUGAUCCUGGCUCAGGACGAACGCUGGCGGCGUGCUUAACACAUGCAAGUCGAGCGGAAAGGCCCUUUCGGGGGUACUCGAGCGGCGAACGGGUGAGUAACACGUGAGUAAUCUGCCCUUCACUUGGGGAUAACCACCGGAAACGGUGGCUAAUACCCGAUAUGACAGUUGCCCGCAUGGGUGGUUGUGGAAAGUUUUUUCGGUGGGGGAUGUGCUCGCGGCCUAUCAGCUUGUUGGUGGGGUAAUGGCCUACCAAGGCUUCGACGGGUAGCCGGCCUGAGAGGGUGACCGGCCACACUGGGACUGAGACACGGCCCAGACUCCUACGGGAGGCAGCAGUGGGGAAUAUUGGACAAUGGGCGGAAGCCUGAUCCAGCAACGCCGCGUGAGGGAUGACGGCCUUCGGGUUGUAAACCUCUUUCACCGAUGACGAAGCGUGAGUGACGGUAGUCGGAGAAGAAGCACCGGCCAACUACGUGCCAGCAGCCGCGGUAAUACGUAGGGUGCGAGCGUUGUCCGGAAUUAUUGGGCGUAAAGGGCUCGUAGGCGGUUUGUCGCGUCGGGAGUGAAAACCCAGGGCUUAACCCUGGGCUGGCUUUCGAUACGGGCAGACUAGAGGUAUGCAGGGGAGAACGGAAUUCCUGGUGUAGCGGUGAAAUGCGCAGAUAUCAGGAGGAACACCGGUGGCGAAGGCGGUUCUCUGGGCAUUACCUGACGCUGAGGAGCGAAAGUGUGGGGAGCGAACAGGAUUAGAUACCCUGGUAGUCCACACCGUAAACGUUGGGCGCUAGGUGUGGGGUCCAUUCCACGGAUUCCGUGCCGCAGCUAACGCAUUAAGCGCCCCGCCUGGGGAGUACGGCCGCAAGGCUAAAACUCAAAGGAAUUGACGG
rnacentral:rRNA from 1 species